UGGGGAAUAUUGGGCAAUGGAGGGAACUCUGACCCAGCGGCGCCGCGUGCGGGAUGAAGGCCUUCGGGUUGUAAACCGCUUUCAGCAAGGAAGAAGCGAAAGUGACGGUACUUGCAGAAGAAGCACCGGCUAACUAUGUGCCAGCAGCCGCGGUAAUACAUAGGGUGCAAGCGUUGUCCGGAAUUAUUGGGCGUAAAGAGCUCGUAGGUGGUUCGUCACGUCGGAUGUGAAAAUCUGGGGCUUAACCCCAGACCUGCAUUCGAUACGGGCGAGCUAGAGUGUGGUAGGGGAGACUGGAAUUCCUGGUGUAGCGGUGGAAUGCGCAGAUAUCAGGAGGAACACCAAUGGCGAAGGCAGGUCUCUGGGCCAUUACUGACACUGAGGAGCGAAAGCGUGGGGAGCGAACAGGAUUAGAUACCCUGGUAGUCCACGCCGUAAACGGUGGGCACUAGUUGUGGGAACCUUCCACGGUUUCUGCGACGCAGCUAACGCAUUAAGUGCCCCGCCUGGGGAGUACGAUCGCAAGAUUA
rnacentral:rRNA from 1 species